UACGUAGGGUGCAAGCGUUAUCCGGAAUUAUUGGGCGUAAAGAGCUCGUAGGCGGUUUGUCGCGUCUGCUGUGAAAACUGGGGGCUCAACCCCCAGCCUGCAGUGGGUACGGGCAGACUAGAGUGCGGUAGGGGAGAUUGGAAUUCCUGGUGUAGCGGUGGAAUGCGCAGAUAUCAGGAGGAACACCGAUGGCGAAGGCGGAUCUCUGGGCCAUUACUGACGCUGAGGAGCGAAAGCGUGGGGAGCGAACAGG
rnacentral:rRNA from 1 species